GUCUACAGCCAUACCACCCUGAAGGUGCCCAAUCUCGUCUGGUCUCGAAAGCUAAGCAGGAUUGGGCCUGUUUUGUACUUGGAUGGGGAAACAUAUUAUAGGGC
rnacentral:rRNA from 1 species